AACAUGGAUGGACCUAGAGAUUAUCAUACUAAGCAAAGUAUCUCAGCCUUCUAAGUGAAAGAACGCUCAGGACAGUGUGGUGAAAUCUGCCCACAUUAACUACCCACAGUAAUCAUUUUAACUAUUUCUGCUUUGAACGGCUUCACCCUGGGAGAGCAAACAUCUCUGGCUCUUCACAGAAGCAGAUUCCCUUUGAGAACUGAGAGACUGGUGGUGUUACACGGAGCACGAGCUCAAAGGAGCGGGGAUGGGGUAACCGUGACCAGAAGGCGCUGAAGCUGGAAGUGGAGCCAGGAGAAAAGCUGUGUCUCUUGCCCAGAAGCAGCUGAUGCGGUCGAGUGACCAGAAGCCAGGUGGCCCUGCAGAGCAGGAGGACCAGCUGAAAGCUCAGGUGAAAGUGAAGAGGGGAGAAUGUCAAGCCUCCGUUCGGGGCCCAACAACUUAAUUUCAGAAUUGGGAGACCUGAGCGUCACCUCCUUGACCAAGCUUCCCAUCAAUGCCACCCUCUUGUGUUUCCUGAUUCCCUGCUGUGGGCUCUCGAGGGCAAAACCCCUGGCUGAGAUCAGGGAGCACACCCACAGACCACCCAGGCCUGGCACAGGGUCCACAUCUAACCCGUAUUUGCCAAAAGAACAAUUUCAUGCAUAGUAACAAAACAAAAGCAAUUUUACACAAUGAAAGCACAAAAUUCCAAGAUCAAACCAUCACUGAGCUUGUGUACAUCUGAGCAGGGCCACCUGGGCAUGUGGGGAGGCCGGGAUGGGCACCUUGGUCACAGGAAGGACCUCUGAGGCUAUGUGAUUGCAUCUGGUGAAGAGCAAUCCCACUGCCCUGGAAGAUGGAAUGGAACGGACCUCACGCUUCCAUUACACUUUAAAAUACUUGUUACAUUUUGAUUUUACAACUAGUAACCUCUAGUUUUUAGAAAUGAAAUACUGCCUACAUACUGUUAACCCUAUUGGCCCAAAUGGUUUAAAACAUCCCAACUUCAACUUUACUUUUUGCUAACAGUACAAAGUAUCUACAGGUUCAUUUAUGUGAUCAAUUUCCAAGUAACCGGUGUGACUUUGGAUGUCCCUUCUUCCCUCAGGAAUUCAGUUUCCUUUUCUGUACUAGAUUAUUUAAGUGCCCCCCUGAGUCUUAAAAUUCUAGAAUUCAGUAUAAAAUGAACAGGACCUCCCUGCCAAGUGUGGCAUUCUAAUCUGGAAGACAGUGAGCAGGGAAUCAACUCUCAUCCCUCCCUCCCUCCCUCCUCUUCCCCUCUGUCCAUCAAACAUUUCUUUGUACCAAGCCAAACUCAUUUCUCUGGUUAGGGGCAUAUAUCGUGAGUGAGUCAGGAAUACAGAGGUGUUCCCUCUGUAAAGGUCUUCCAGCAGGUGUCUGUGUCCUGGCUGUGAGCCUCAAGGUACCCUCAAGCAAUCCAGAUGACUGGACCUGUGGACGGGGACGGGGACAGGGCUAGAACGCGCGGGAGAGGAAGCCAUGGGAAAACCCAGUCAAGAGCAAGGAACACAGCUGCUGGGGUGUCCCACAAGGGCGUUCGUUCACAAGAUAGUUCCCUAAUUCUACUGCCCCGUCGUUCAAGGACCUUCUCAACGUCUCUGCCCCUGAGAGAUCAUUUGAAAGGAGACCAAGGCAGGAAUGAUCACUUUCCUCGGGCUCAAAUUUACCAUAUGCUCUAUCAGGAGGCGUAAGAAAUCUGGUCCAUUCUUACAUAUUGAUAAUUCUAUGUUCCAGAGCAGAUGCGGUGGUGUCUUAAACUUUCAUUGUCCUGCCUUUGGGAGUUGUAGACAAUCACAGUGUAUUGUCUUUUUUGUUUUGUUUUAUUUGAAAGCUAACCCCAAGAAGCAUUAUAAGCUAGAAACGGGAACUCUCGAAGGGGCCAGGAUGUAGUGAAUGCCUCCUAGGAAAUGCCUCCCCUGCAUCUCUUUGUUUCCUGGCGGUGGGAGUGUGGGGUAGAGCGCAGUUCUUCUCAGGUCUGCUCCCACCCACUUCACACACAGCAGAGUGGACAGGGCCGGAGAGCCGGGGCUGCCCCCUGGCCACCUCCCUGGCACACCUGGCCCAAUGCCUGCAGUGAGGCCACCCUGGUGCUGCUGACCCCAGGGCAGAACAUCGGUAAAUGCAAUCACCACCCACCCUGUGUGCACUUUAUCAGGGAAAUGGAGAUCUGGCCUCCCAGGACCAGGCAAGAGUCGGGGGCCCAGAAACCUCAGGGCUCCUCUGACUUGGGCGGGGGGUCAUCAGAUGGUUUAACAGGGGCUGUUGGGGACACACGUGGGGCAGACCAGCUCUCCGUCCCCCGCCCAGGGACAGUACCUGGGACAGGUCUGCCCCGCCAGCACCCAGGCCUAGGUCUCCCUGGGGCAUCUUGUCAGUGAUGUGCAUAUUUCAGAAAUUGUUAGACACGGAGGACCAACUGUCAAAACCUGAGGGUCUGGACAGAAGCAAGGCCUUGCUCUCCCCAAUCAGCUUUCCUGAGUUUCCAGUGAACCUGCCCCGAGGAAGGAACGGCUCCGUUAGAGGCAGAAAGCAGUUCUUGGAGGAAGACGCCAUAGAUGAUUGUGACAAGGUCACCUUUGUCUGCAGAGGGGAGUCCAUGCUCCCAAAGAGCAAGGACGGGGGCAGGGGAGAGUCUAACCUCAAAGCUCCAGGACAGAUGGACAGGCAGAGAAGGGCUGGUGACCAUGCAGCUUGUCUGGGCGGGCUCGGGAAAGUCCCAGCCCCCCACGGCUCCCAAGUCAGCAUCCAAUAGAGAAAGCAGACGGCAUUGCAAAAAAAACAAAUGACAAACACAUCCCCACAAAAGAAAAUAAGCUAACUGAACUAACUAAAAGGUUCACCCUGGCUCAAGGGAGGUUAGGAGACCAGACACGUGCUACUUUGCCCCGUAAACCAGCAUGUGAAUGACCCCAGAGACGUCGCUGCUCACCCCUUGCUUGAGGACCAGCCUCUUCCGGUUCCCCUCCCCCCACCCCGACUGAUGGGUCCGUCCCUGCACUUCACGUCUUGUGGGACAGUGACACCUGCUGACAGUCACGGUUACUAGGCGCCAGUGCUCAGAAAUUAAAUGGCCCCUUUAU